rnacentral:rRNA from 1 species
CAAAGGAAGCGAUUCCGGCGGGGGAUGGGCAUGCGGCGCACUAGCUAGUCGGCGGGGUAACGGCCCACCGAGGCGACGAUGCGUAGGGGUUCUGAGAGGAAGGUCCCCCACACUGGUACUGAGACACGGACCAGACUCCUACGGGAGGCAGCAGUGAGGAAUAUUGGUCAAUGGGCGGGAGCCUGAACCAGCCAAGUCGCGUGAGGGAAGACGGUCCUAUGGAUUGUAAACCUCUUUUGCCGGGGAGCAACGGGGUCCUUGCGAGGGCCUAAUGAGAGUACCCGGAGAAAAAGCAUCGGCUAACUCCGUGCCAGCAGCCGCGGUAAUACGGAGGAUGCGAGCGUUAUCCGGAUUUAUUGGGUUUAAAGGGUGCGUAGGCGGGCUGUUAAGUCAGCGGUCAAAUGUCGGGGCUCAACCCCGGCCUGCCGUUGAAACUGGUGGCCUCGAGUGGGCGAGAAGUAUGCGGAAUGCGUGGUGUAGCGGUGAAAUGCAUAGAUAUCACGCAGAACUCCGAUUGCGAAGGCAGCAUACCGGCGCCCGACUGACGCUGAGGCACGAAAGCGUGGGUAUCGAACAGGAUUAGAUACCCUGGUAGUCCACGCAGUAAACGAUGAAUGCUAGCUGUCCGGGGCUUCGGUCCUGG